AGCCAUUUAGGAAAAAAAAACCUAAACACUCCCUUUUCCAUAUUCGGCCGAACCCUAAUUCCCUUUUGCUCAAACGUCGAUCCACCACAACAGUCGGCGACCAGUGUAUUCGAGCCUCGGCGAUUGUUUUUCCAGCUUUGGGAUCCCUCAUACCUCGAUUUCAACGAAGCAGAAGGAAUCUCAUGGCAUAUUUGCAAGGUACGGGGUACAGAGCCAGUCGUGGUGGUACGUGGCACUCGACAUGGGGCGUACGGAGGCUGUGUACUGGAGGCUGCUGAAGCAUUGGAGGUUGUACGGUGCUGUGAGGCCAGCUGCGGCGCAAGGGAAACCCUAGGUUUCUGUUUGGCUGAACCUAGGUCUAAGUUUUGGGCCAUUGGGCCUUUUAGGCAUUGAGUUAUUUGAUUUAUUUGGUUUUUUUCAUUGUAAUGGGGUUUAGGUCUAUUUGAGUCUGUUUAAUGGACUGUUUUAAUUUAUUUUGGUUCUUUUUUGUUUUGCUAUUUGGUUCUUAAAUCUCUACGUCGGUAAGUGCAGUCCAAUUUCAUGAGUGAGUUUGUUCAUUUAACAAUUAAUUAGGAGGAACAUCUUAAAAGUGAUGGCUAGUGUGAACAAGUGUAGUAUGAUGUAAUUUCUCUUUGCACAUCUUUAACUCAUUUCGAAAA